rnacentral:lncRNA from 1 species
UCUGGACGUCGGAUAAUCAUUGCUAGAUGGUUAUAUUGAUUGAUUCUGAAAGAUAUUUCUAUACUACUGACUUAUGUUCAAACCUAUGGAGUCAUAUUCAAAAAAAAUUUCUGACUGAUCACGUGGUUGAUCAACGAUUGAGAAUCGUUCAAGAGCUUAAUCAUUAAUUCGAUUGAUGGUUAACUUUAUGCAAAAAUUAUAAUAAAUUAAUUCAUCAAGUGUU